rnacentral:tRNA from 2 species
GCCGCCGUAGCUCAGACCGGUAGAUCCCUGCGUGGGAACCGAUAGCGCUGGCCUUGUAAGCCAGUGGUCGCGGGUUCAAGUCCCGCCGGCGGCU